rnacentral:ncRNA from 2 species
UGUUUAUACAGAAGAGGCGAGAGACGGACUCCGUGACCCUCUGGCAACCAACUAAAAGUUAGAAUGAGAAAAUCUCAUUUUGAUUGGAAAACCGGUGCCAAUUUCCGAUUCCUGCGCUGUUGCAGGAAGAAUAUAAUAA